GACGAACGCUGGCGGCGUGCUUAACACAUGCAAGUCGAACGGAAAGGCCCUGCUUUUGUGGGGUGCUCGAGUGGCGAACGGGUGAGUAACACGUGAGUAACCUGCCCUUGACUUUGGGAUAACUUCAGGAAACUGGGGCUAAUACCGGAUAGGAGCUCCUGCUGCAUGGUGGGGGUUGGAAAGUUUCGGCGGUUGGGGAUGGACUCGCGGCUUAUCAGCUUGUUGGUGGGGUAGUGGCUUACCAAGGCUUUGACGGGUAGCCGGCCUGAGAGGGUGACCGGCCACACUGGGACCGAACUACGGCCCAGACUCCUACGGGAGGCAGCAGUGGGGAAUAUUGCACAAUGGGCGGAAGCCGGAUGCAGCAACGCCGCGUGCGGGAUGACGGCCUUCGGGUUGUAACCCGCUUUCGCCUGUGACGAAGCGUGAGUGACGGUAAUGGGUAAAGAAGCACCGGCUACCUACGUG
rnacentral:rRNA from 1 species